UACGUAGGUGGCAAGCGUUGUCCGGAUUUACUGGGCGUAAAGAGCGCGCAGGCGGUCGGAUAAGUCGAAUGUGAAAGCCCCCGGCUCAACUGGGGAGGGUCACGCGAUACUGAUCGACUCGAAGGCAGGAGAGGGAAGUGGAAUUCCCGGUGUAGUGGUGAAAUGCGUAGAUAUCGGGAGGAACACCAGUGGCGAAGGCGACUUCCUGGCCUGUUCUUGACGCUGAGGCGCGAAAGCUAGGGGAGCAAACGGGG
rnacentral:rRNA from 1 species